rnacentral:tRNA from 1 species
AUCGCGUUCGACUUCGGGUGAGGUCACCAGCCUUUCAAGCUGGUCAGACGGGUUCGAGCCCCGUACGCGAUGCCA